rnacentral:lncRNA from 1 species
ACCUAGCAACGCAGCCAAUGAAACUGCCGCAUGGAGACCAAGAGAGGGAACGACCUAAAUCAUGCCACAGAACUCAUCCGUUAUUCCUAUGGGGGUGAAGCAUGAGGCAUAUUUAUAUCUGCCCAGACACACCUUCUGGAAGGCUCGCUCCCAACUCCCAACUGCAAACACCCUGUGGUGGACCACAGGAAGAGAGAAACAUCCACACCUGCGCAUGGGCACUGCUCACCAUCACUAGCACGUGAACACAGAGCCUUCCCCAUCCGCCUCAGAAAGUCAUCUCAACACUGGGUCACCAACAUCUCUAGCACCAAACUCUGAGAAACCACCGCUCUCCACACCCAGGAGAGAUCGGAGAGGGUGUCUAACCCCCACCCCCACAGCCCCAGCCUUACCUUCCCACAAGCCACCAUGGAGAGGGCCACUUGGUACCAAAGGUGAAAUUCUCCAAACGCACACUUCAUGGCUCGCUCUAGGCACUGGGGAGGAACAUGCAGUUAGCAUUGCCUCACCAGCCGCCUGCUUGCCUCGUCCCCCCCCCCCCCCCGGGGUAAGCAUGACCCGAGUCGCUGCCUUCAGAGAGCCAAUGGGCAGCCUGGGAAUACAGGGACAAUCCAGUCCCUGCACACAUGCACUGUGAUGAGGCACAACGAUUGUCUCACCCGCUAUACUCCUAGGUUCCCACCUCCAUAAUUCAUGGAUGGUUUCAGACAGCCAUUUUGAUGUGCAAAUAAAAUAAGGCUUAUG